rnacentral:rRNA from 1 species
GUUCAACGGCCGCGGUACCCUAACCGUGCGAAGGUAGCAUAAUCACUUGUUCUUUAAAUAAGGACUAGUAUCAACGGCAUCACGAGGGCUACCUGUCUCCUUUCUCCAAUCAGUGAAACUGAUCUCCCCGUGAAGAAGCGGGGAUUAAUUUAUAAGACGAGAAGACCCCAUGGAGCUUUAAACUCAUCAUACACCUCGUUUACAUUAUAACCUAAAAGACUUGUAUGCUAGUUUUAGGUUGGCCGCUAAAAAUUAACCUCCGCAACAAAUGGGCUACGCCCUUAUAAGAACAACAGUUCUAAGAAUCAACAAACUGAUGUUUAAUGACCCGAAUUAUCGAUCAACGAACCAAGUUACCCUGGGGAUAACAGCGCAAUCUAUUCAAGAGCUCCUAUCGACAAGUGGGUUUACGACCUCUGUUGGAUCAGGGUAUCCCAGUGGUGCAGCCGCUACUAAAGGUUCGUUUGUUC